CUGCAGUCUCUCUUUAUAUACUCCUCAACACUUUCUCAUCUUCCACACCCCUAAUAACCUCAAAGAGAAGAAGAGCCUUCAUAUUAGUGAGCCUCGAUUGUGCAAUAUGAAGGAAGGUAAAGCCUUUUCAACGCUCGCAAAGGAUUGGGCAAUAAAGAGCAAAGACUGGUGGUUCAAGUGUGGGAGGGGGUGGAAUAAAGAAUGUUUACUCCUAAGCCAACGUGUUAUAUUGGAGUUUGGAAGAGAACACGUUUAUUUUGGAAUGGAAGGAUUGGAAAGAAGGUAAUUAAAGGGCUUUAUGGUCGUCAAGUUUAAACACAGGUGUUCAGGUGUUUAGUGUUUAAACUUGAUCAGGUUUUUUGGACACCAUACGAUAAUUAUUUGCAUCCAUGGUGUCUUGCAGAAAAAUAUAUAUGGACUACAACAGCGCCAUUGUUAUGAUUCCAAAUUUUGAAGUAUUACCAUCCAGAAAGUCAUUCAACAGUUUGGGUUGUUGCAAAGAUAUCCAAAGUGACCUGACAAUUUCAAUAAAUCUGUGCAUUGUGUAAAGUUGAUUGGAAAGUCCGGUGUUAAUUGGCUUAGGAAGCAUGCACUAUACCAUUGACUUUGGAACGAGUGAGUUGAACAUGUAGUUGGGGAUGACAAUUUCCAUUUAGGUGUGGACUAACAUGGUACCAUCAACAUGGUUAUCUAUUCACGACCUCAAAGGCGGCUAUCCAUAUGUACCAGCAAACUGAGAUCAGUAAUAUGUUAAAUUUGGCUGUUGCAAACCAACAGAGGAAUGAUCUCACUACACCAUAAGUCCUUCUAGCAAUAGUAAAGGGCCUUAGUCGAGUGAAGUUAUCGAUGGAAGCAAAUAUUUCUUCCGUCCCUACUGAGAGGGUGACACUUCGGGUCUAACAAUCUGUAUUGCUAGUAAAUCUGUGAAUGGUAAUCCCUUUAUCCUGUCUGCAAAUGUAUUCUUGCAUUUUAAUGGGGUCACGAUGUUAUGCAAAAUUCUAGUGUCUAGAGGUUCAGAAAAUGUUGGUUCGAAUAGAGGGCAUCCUUUUCUACCCUUUUUUUUUAGUAUGUUUUGUUAAAGCUUCUUGGUGAUAUUUCAUCUCUAUUGGUGAGGAACAA